CCUACGGGUGGCAGCAGUGAGGAAUAUUGGUCAAUGGACGAGAGUCUGAACCAGCCAAGUAGCGUGAAGGAUGACUGCCCUAUGGGUUGUAAACUUCUUUUAUAUGGGGAUAAAACGUUCCACGUGUGGGAUUUUGUAUGUACCAUAUGAAUAAGGAUCGGCUAACUCCGUGCCAGCAGCCGCGGUAAUACGGAGGGUCCGAGCGUUAUCCGGAUUUAUUGGGUUUAAAGGGAGCGUAGGUGGAUUGUUAAGUCAGUUGUGAAAGUUUGCGGCUCAACCGUAAAAUUGCAGUUGAAACUGGCAGUCUUGAGUACAGUAGAGGUGGGCGGAAUUCGUGGUGUAGCGGUGAAAUGCUUAGAGAUCACGAAGAACUCCGAUUGCGAAGGCAGUUCACUGGACUGCAACUGACACUGAGGCUCGAAAGUGUGGGUAUCAAACAGGAUUAGAUACCCCAGUAGUC
rnacentral:rRNA from 1 species